UCAUAUAGAGUUUAAAAAGGAGAUGAAUUGAAUAAAUUCAUUAUCAAACAAAAUAAAAGAUAACUUAUAAAACUAUUAUGUGCUGUGUGUAUUUAUUAUUUGCUAGUCAAGAUAAUUUUGUGUGUAGGUGUUUGAAAGGAAUAGAAUUAGGAUACCCUUAAGUUGUAAAGAAUAAGUCAACAUCCAUGACCGAGCCAAUAUCAAAGCCAAUAGCUGCAAUAGAGGCUCACAUUGAAAGCUACCUCAAAGAGGUGGUUAUUUUGGAAAGUAUAGUACUGGAUCAAGAAACGAUAAGUAUGACAGAUAGGUAAAGUAUAGUUAAAGGAUUAUAAGUGGUCAAUGUUGAGUUCUUAAACUCAUAAGGUGUUGAAAGUUGUGAUAAACUAGAUAUAGUUAUGUAUGAAUGGAUAUUGAGGAUAAUAGGAAUAGAUAGGUUACUAAGUAAUUGAUCGUUAGUGA
rnacentral:lncRNA from 1 species